UGAGGUAGAGGUCGCGAACGUUAUUAGUAUCAUUUUCGAGAUGAGAAAGCAUUACUGACAAAAUGAGAAAGGAACGUUUGCCGAAGUAUUUCAAAUGCUUUUAUCAUUUGAAUGCUGGGGCUGUCGCUUAAUAGGUGCAGAACUGUCACGUAACAACGUGUUGAGCUAUCU
rnacentral:ncRNA from 1 species